rnacentral:rRNA from 1 species
GGGGAAUAUUGCACAAUGGGCGCAAGCCUGAUGCAGCAACGCCGCGUGAGGGAUGACGGCCUUCGGGUUGUAAACCUCUUUUAGUAGGGAAGAAGCCUUCGGGUGACGGUACCUGCAGAAAAAGCACCGGCUAACUACGUGCCAGCAGCCGCGGUAAUACGUAGGGUGCAAGCGUUGUCCGGAAUUAUUGGGCGUAAAGAGCUCGUAGGCGGCUUGUCGCGUCUGCUGUGAAAACCCGAGGCUCAACCUCGGGCCUGCAGUGGGUACGGGCAAGCUAGAGUGCGGUAGGGGAGAUUGGAAUUCCUGGUGUAGCGGUGGAAUGCGCAGAUAUCAGGAGGAACACCGAUGGCGAAGGCAGAUCUCUGGGCCGUAACUGACGCUGAGGAGCGAAAGCAUGGGGAGCGAAC